GUUAGCUUUUCCCCGUAGUGCAGUGUGGUUUAGCUGUGAGCCUUUCAGACCUACAGCUGUCUUUGAACGGUGUUUCCAUCUCGAAGGCUCGGGCUUGUGUUAGGGAUGCCCUCGCACUACUGCAGCGUUUGCACUAACACCACAGUUGUGCGUUUCGUGAGGCAGAUGAGGGAGCGCUGGGAGUUGCUGGGCGCCGGGAACGUACUAUGGGCAGUGCUGGGCUAGGUGUUGGAGUGGGGACUUGUUCCUGCCUCCUGCUUCCGUCUGCCUUGGAAAACAAGUAAAUAAUUAAAGCAUUUAAAAGGGCAAGAAAGACUUUGUUCCUUUCUGGAAAACAACGUGCACAACGUACAGACCGGAUGAUAAAUGCAACCUGGAAGCUUACUGCUCUAAUCCUGCUGCUGGAUUUGUUCAACUGGGACCUGACUGAGUUAAUGGACCUCUGGAUGUCCACAAGUUUCUACUCUGAAGAUCUGAUUGUAGGCCUGAACUUAAAUUUUGAUUUUUAUUCCCCUGUCUGUUUUCUUCUCAUUCCUGAAAACAGAGUUGUCUUUGAGUCUCAUUCACAUCUACCUUAGCAGCAUUCAGACACUGUGCUUGCUCGGGAUGUUGUCAGACACAGUUAAAUUAUGUCUGUUGUGGCAUAAGCCAAAAGCUCAUGCUUGCCAUGGUUAUUGUGCUAUAUUUUUACAUUCAAUGGCUUCCUACUCAAAAUGGAGGAGAUCAUUACCUGUUUUUUUCCAUCUGUUGUGGUAUUUCUCCUAAAUCAGAUGUUGAAGUCAGAGUAACUGUUGAAAAUCUAUUCAGGUAAUUUUAAAAGAUGCUGGUAAAUUUGUUUUUUGUUCACUGAACACAAAGUAUAUCUAUUUCAUUUUAUUUUUCAAUGUGGUGUCUCCUUAAUAGCUUACUAUUACUGAGAGCUUUCAAUGUGGUGAUACACAGUGAUAUAGACUAAUAAAAUAAGUAGGUAGAGGCAA